GAGGGUACAGCUCAAGCGGUAGAGCAUAUGCUUGGCAUGCAUGAGGUCCUGAGUUCAAUUCCCAGUACCUCCC
rnacentral:tRNA from 1 species